AGGCAGUAACGGCAUAUUUAUGAUCCUUAUUUCUCUGUGCUCUGAAAGAAUAGCAUCUACAGGUGAAAUUAGCUAAGUAAUUUACACUCACACUCGCUAAGGCUGACAAAAGAGACAAUGAGUCAAAAAGUGUCAAAUUGAAGUUUCAGGUAGAUACAUGAUUCAGUCUUUGCAAGUGAUUUCAAUUUUGUAAUUGCUGGCUCAACAAUUUUAUCUUUCUAUCUUUUUUGUCUUUUGGUUUUUUUUGGGUUUUUUUUGUUUUUUGUUUUUUGUUUUUUUUUGAAAAGGGGGGCAUGCAUACAUUCUCCAAUCCAGAAGGCUCUAAAAUUAAAGUCAGUAACAGUGAUAAUAAACCUAUCUUUAGUAAAAGAUUUAUAUGAGAUUUUGGACUAUUUGGUGGAAGAUACAAUUUAACCCAGAGUUUUAGGUCAGUUAAAUAUUCUGUGCAUGUUUAGCACUGUGUCAGUAUUGAACACAUAGGCAUUGGAUAGAUGAAAGUGUUAAUGGCUAAUUUUCUGGGUAACUAAGAUUUAAAAUUGUGUUAACAAAAAAUUAGAGUUUAUAUUUUAUUAUGUGAAUCUUUAUAAAAUCAUUGGAGUGUUACAGAGACAAUUCAACCCUUUAUGUAAAUCACAGAAAGAAGAGUAAGUUAAAAAAAAAAAAAGUUACUCAUUGUCCUGUUUUCAAUAUAAGGGCAAUAGUUAACCUUUUAAUUUGAGGUCUAUUGAUUUGCUAUUUUGGUACUUGGGAUUAAAACUCAAGACCUCAUACAUGCUAAGCACAUGCUUUUCCUAGCUAGUUAACCCUUUCUUGACAGCUUGGCUUUAAGAUGGCCUUGUGCUAAGAGGCUGCUUAGACCUAGUAGGCACCUUUAUUAUAGGUACUAGUGUGGCUUUUUCCUAAUCUCUUUUUUUAGCCUUUGCUUUCUAUAACUCAGUCAGUUAACAGUUUGAUCCUAUGCUUCUACUACUAUGUAGACUGAAAAGCUAAACAACAAAGCGUGUUCCAAUUGCAUGUAAAUUAAUUCUAAAUACUUUCUAAGAGCCUUUUGAGUAUUGUAAGGUGGUUUUACUAUAUAGAAGUUGUGACUUAAAUCUUAUUUGGAAGUACUUGGGGUUUUCCUUAAAUUUUGGGGUUUUCUUAAUUCUUGGCUAUUUUCAGAAAAGCAAAGAAGAAACUUAGUGUUGAAGCCUAUCAUGUACUAAACACUCUCCUAACUAUUGUUCCUUUUAAAUCUUACAGUGGUACCAAAAGGCUCCUUCAUAAUCAGUUCUACACAAUGAGUUCUCCUGAAUCACACCCUAUGCCGUCUACCCACUGAUGCCAACCCCAAAGGACAUCAUAUCACAGCACUAGUUAUAGGAAGGACCCUGUUACAUUGCAGUAACGGCACACAUCUAGGACACAUCGUGUAAAUCCUAGUAUGAGGAUGGGCCUCAGCACGACACCACUGAUGGGCUUUUGAGCCUCUGGAAGCUUCUUAACUCUAAGUGUGCAUCAUCCUUAUGCUUCUAUUUUACUAACUUUUGUAGAAAUAGAACCUCCUUUAGAACUGCAAAGCAAAUUCAUAGAACCUGUUAUUUUGAUAUUUGAUGUUAAGAAUUGAAGUGUUGGGCUGAAGAGAUGACUCCAUGGUUAAGAGCACUUGCUCUUUCAGAAGACCCAAAUUUCAUUCCCAGAACCUAUACCAGGUAGUUCACAACCACCUGUAACUCCUGAUCCAGGAAGUCAGGUGCCUGCUUCUAGCUUCUGUAGGCACCUGCACACAUGUGACAUACACUCAUACAGACAUGCACGCGCACACACACACACAAAUAGUAUUCAAGUAUUGUUACUGGUGGUAUAAAAUGGUAUAAUCUCUACAGAGGAGAAUUAGACCCUACCUGCCAAAUUACAGGUGGAAUUACCCUCUGAAACAAUAACCUUCUUAUGGAAGUUUAUCCUAUAGAUAAGUAUGCUAGUCAGAAAGUACAAAUAGGGCUAAAGAUAUGGCUCAACAGUUAAAAAGCACUGGAUGCUCUCCCACAUGACCUGGGUUCAAUUCCCAGUACCACAUGGUAGCUCACAACUACCUCUAACCCCAAUUCCAGGGGGUCUGCUGGCCUCUAAGGGCUUGAGGCAUACAUAUGUUACACAGAUAAUACAUGCUGACAAAACAUCCAUACAUAUAAGAAAUUCGUUACAUUAUUUGCUUCUUUAGUUAUUUAUAAUUUAUUCUUUUCUCCUACACUACACCCUGCCCACAGCAUCCCCUCCCUACCUUCAUGCCAGUCAUUCCACAUCACGCUUUAGUUUUAGAUUUCUUCAUAUGAUAUAUUUUGGUCACAUUCCUUCCCUUCCCCCCAAGUCCUCCCUAAUCCUUCCCACCUCUCUACCUAUCCAACCUCAUUUUCUUUCUUUUAAUUAAAAAACAAAACAACAAACAACAAUAACAACAAAAAUACUACCAAAUUAUAACCAAACAUGCACACAUAACCUAUCUACUUUCAGAUUCUUGGACACAUUAGCAUUGUCAAAUAUGAGUCCCAUCUCAUGAAAUGGUUGGUUAGAGCCAUAUUAUUUAUGCCUCUGUUACUGCAAUAUAUUACAGAUAUAUAUGUAGACAAAACACCCAUGCACAUAAGAAAAACUUUUUAACAAAGUACAUGUGUAUUCAUAUAACUCAGUUCUUCAUGCAGCAUGUUUCAAAUAGCAAGGAAAUAUGGAGAGGUAAAAAGACCCAAAUGUCAAUUCUAGGGGAACUACUAGAUUCAUUUUGUUGUAUUUGUAUGACAGAAUGUGAUGUGGUGAUGUUGAAAAUGUCAGUCUUUUUUUUUUAAGUUAUGUAAAAUGAGUUGUGUGAUGUUAUGUUAUACAAGAAGAGCAAAGUGCAAUACAAUAGAACAUGCUUCAUUCUC
rnacentral:lncRNA from 1 species